CCUGCCCCCAGGCACGCGUGGAGCCUCCCACCGAAAGAACAGCCUCCCUUUGGCUCUGCUCACCUUCUUGGGCGCCUCGAUACCAAACUUCAGCCCUUCAGGUGUUUUGGACUUCAACUUCCACAAUUCCUAACAGCCUACCGGCUUGCUGUGAGUUUUCCGGGUUUUUUUGGUGUCAGGAGCAACUUGAGUCGCUUCUGGAGUGAGAGAAUUGGCCGUCUGCAAGGACGUUACCCAGGGGAUGCCCGGAUGUUUUGAUGUUUUUCCAUCCUUGUGGGAGGCUUCUCUCAUGUCCCCGCGUGGAGGUGGAGCUGAUAGAGGGAGCUCAUCCGCACUCUCCCCGGGUGAGAUUCGAACCUGGCAGCCUUCAGGUCAGCAACCCAACCUUCAAGUCACGAGGCUUUAGUCCACUAUGCCACCGAGAGCUCCGGGCUGUAUGGCCCUGUUCCAAAAGCAUUCUCUCUUGACGUUCUGCCUGCAUCUAUGGCAAGCAUCCUCAGAGACAAUAUGACAAAUGGUGACCCUACCACAAGGUUUUCUUGGCAAGAUGUGUUCAGAAGAGGGUUGGGACUGACUUCUUCCGAGGUUGAGAAGAAUUUUGUUCUCCAGAGUCACUACAGUAUGUUGACUAUUAAAAGAGCAUUUAGCCAUACAAUACACCACUUGCAGUCGAUCCUGUCUUUUUCCUGGGAAGCCCAUAUAAUAUAUGAACUAGCUGACUUGUAAUUCUCAUUUCAUUUACUGUAUAUUUACAGUGCUGCCUUUUAUCAUCCUUUUCCCUGACUGUCUGAUGUGGAUGUUCCUCCCCAAGGUUAGAAGGAUGCUGUAAAUAAACAUCACCAUCAUAAUUAACUAAAAUAAUGAGGGAAUGGGUGCAACUGAAGGUACAUAUUCUGCCGUAUAGCACCAUUGAUAUUUCCCCUCUGGUGCUCAACCUGGGCUCCCCAGAUAUUUUUGGCCUACAACUCCCAGAAAUCCCAGCCAGUUUACCAGAUGUUAGGAUUUCUGGGAGUUGAAGGCCAGAAACACCUGGGGACCUCAGGUUGAGAACGACUGACCUAAAGGGAUGCAGUUGGCAACUUUUUUCCUAAUAGCAUUCUUCCUUUUCUUCCAUGAGCCAACUAUUUUAGCAGGGUUUGAAAAAGUUACUUUGGGUGACAUUAUCUCCCCAGAACUUUGAUGUAGGUGGUUAAUACAUUGCUUUGAUAGCUACCAUACUACUGAUGCUUUUUGCAAAACAAGUGAGCAUAGUGAUAAGGAUUUCAGUGUAUUGAAAUAAAGCAAGACUGGUGGUGGUGUUUCCUACUUACAGUGAUCUCAGUAUUUUCUUUGUAAUAUUUUUUUCAGAUAAGGGUUUUUGCUUUUGCUACUCCCUCUAAGGCUAAUUUGGGGUGCAUCUAAACUAUAGAGUUAAUGCAGUUUGACACCAGUUCUAUUGCCAGGGUUCAAUACCGUGGUUUUAUGGGAGCUGCAGUUUUACAAGGUCUUUAGCUUCUGCCAGAACGCUGGUGCCUCACCAAACUACAACUCCCAGGAUUCCAUAGCAUUGAGCCAUGGCAGUUCAAGUGGUGCCAAACUUCAUCAAUUUUGGUGUAGAUGUACCCUUGGUUUCUAUGGCUGAGCAGGGAUUUGAACCCUGGCCUCUGAAGUCACACUCAAAUCACUGCACCUUUCUCGCUUACGGCUGUGAUCCUAGAAGCUCCUUUGGGAGUAAAUAUUAUUGAUGCAGAGGAACUAAUUCCUUUGCUCAGGAUCACAUUGCACCACGCCUAGAAAUGUAAUACACUUGCAAUUCAUGGGAGAAAGGGUGCAUAGCUACAGACUUAAAAUACAUAACACUUGUUGCUGCUACUCCUUGAAAACUGAUCUGUUGCAUACAUAAAAAUACCCAUGGAUAUUUGUGGAGAUCCUAUGGUCCAGAUUCAUGGAGAGCUAUGGGCAUCACACUUCUUUACAGUAGUUUGUUUCCGAAAAUGAUCACAUAGUUUGUUUUAAAGGUUUUUGCAAAAAAAGAACACAUCCUAAAACCAAGUACAAUAGAGUCUCACUUAUCCAAGCUAAAAGGGCAGGCAGAACCUUGGAUAAGCGAAUAUCUUGGAUAAUAAUGAGGGAUUAAGGAAAAGCCUAUUAAACAUCAAAUUAGGUUAUGAUUUUACAAAUUAAGCACCAAAACAUCUUGUCAUACAACAAAUUUGACAGAAAAAGUAGUUCAAUACGCAUUAAUGUUAUGUUGUAAUUACUGUAUUUACGAAUUUAGCACCAAAAUAUCACGAUAUAUUGAAAAGACUGACUACAACAAUGCCUUGGAUAAUCCAGAACCUUGGAUAAGCGAGUGUUGGAUAAGUGAGACUACUGUAAUGCAGAGUAGAUCCACUGAAUCAACUGGAUUUACCUAUAUGUUGACUCGUAAUUCGACAAUUGUGAUUCAAUGGAUUUAAUUUAGUUAAGACUAACCAAUAGGAUUCCAGCCAUUUAUUUGCAUAACAAAAUAAACUAGCAAACUGCAAUAGCUGUGAUGAGCCACCAUAUAUUAACUUGUGCAACUUUAAAGCAAACCACACUGAAUUCAAUGUUAUUUCAUAGGAUGUAAAAAUGUAGCCUGAGGCUAUUUUUAAAGUGUUGUUAAAGCCAAUUUAUAGUUGGGCUUUAUGGGUUAUUAGUAGUACACAAAAGGAUCUUUGUACAGACCUUAACAGUCUGAGAGAUUGAAGUUAAUAGCAAUACAUUUCAUAUUCUUAUACAGUGUUCCCUUGCUACUUUGCAGUUCACUUUUCGCUCCCUCGCUGUUUCGCGGGUUUUCAAUUAAUGUUAAUGUACACAUUUAUCACAGUAUUUUUGCCAUUUUGCUGGUUUUUGCAGUAUACAAAGGGUUUUGGAAGGGGGGGGGAAGGGAGAAAUAAAGUGAAAGGGGGGAGGGUAGGGAAGGGUUGAAAAUAAAAAACGUUUAUUUAUCUUCCAUUUUUCUUCUCUGCCGGUGUACUGUAUAUUGUAGCUGCUAAAAUAAAGUACAGAUUGCAUUGUAGUAAGUGGUCUAUGGUUUGCUCUCCUCCACACAUAGAAUAAAUAUAGUAUCCCUACUUUGCGGAUUUUCACUUACUGCGGGUGGUCCUGGAACGUAACCCCCACGAUAAGUGAAGGAACACUGUACUCAUGCUAUUGACUUUGUUCUUUCAGUCUCUUAGAGCAUCAGACACCUCGUUCUGCAUUUGUUAAAGCAAGAAAUCAUUCUGGUCAAGGAUGAUCUUAAUAAACACUAACCAAAAUUCUUUGCCGCUUCUAGAGGUGCACCUACACUAUAGAAUUAAUGCAGUUUUGAUACCACUUUAAGUGCUGUGGCUCAAUGGUAUGGCAUUAUGGAUUUUUGGUUGGUGAGGCAACAGCACUCUUUGGCACAGAAGGCUAAAGACCUUGUGAAACCAUAACUCCUAUGAUACUAUAGUAUUGAGCCAUGCCAACGAUACAACUGCCUGAAAUUGCCAUUUCUAAAAUUCAAUGACUUGCUGUCAGAUGGCAGUGUGGAGAGCAGCUUCUGCAGGGAAAUGGUGAGUGGCAGUGCUGCUUCUUGGUCGUUCUUACUGGACAAGUCACAUUAAAUGGUCACAUUAAAUGGUCAGGAUGGGGCCUGAGAUGAGCAUGCUGACCUGGCUUGCAUUGCAGAGACUGGACUGGACGAAACUGAUGUGAGGAAUUAACCUCUCACAGCUUUCUUUUUGUGGGUUCUCCAUACAGUUAUUCCUUUAACAGUUGCAAUGUAAUUAUAUUUUAAUUAAACCCUUACCUUAAAAUUUUGUGAGCUAUCUUAUAUUCCAUCCCUGGAGAAAAGUAGGGUAUAUCUUUAAUUAAAUGCAACAAAUAAAUACAUAAAUAAGAUAUGCAUAUAGCACUAUAUUACUUUCAGACGUGGAAGGGCGAUUGAUGAAAGUCAAGAAAGAAAAUGUUGAACAUAAAAUAAAAA